rnacentral:rRNA from 1 species
UUUUAUGAGAGUUUGAUCCUGGCUCAGGACGAACGCUGGCGGCGUGCCUAAUACAUGCAAGUCGAACGCUUCUUUUUCCACCGGAGCUUGCUCCACCGGAAAAAGAAGAGUGGCGAACGGGUGAGUAACACGUGGGUAACCUGCCCAUCAGAAGGGGAUAACACUUGGAAACAGGUGCUAAUACCGUAUAACAAUCGAAACCGCAUGGUUUUGAUUUGAAAGGCGCUUUCGGGUGUCGCUGAUGGAUGGACCCGCGGUGCAUUAGCUAGUUGGUGAGGUAACGGCUCACCAAGGCCACGAUGCAUAGCCGACCUGAGAGGGUGAUCGGCCACAUUGGGACUGAGACACGGCCCAAACUCCUACGGGAGGCAGCAGUAGGGAAUCUUCGGCAAUGGACGAAAGUCUGACCGAGCAACGCCGCGUGAGUGAAGAAGGUUUUCGGAUCGUAAAACUCUGUUGUUAGAGAAGAACAAGGAUGAGAGUAACUGUUCAUCCCUUGACGGUAUCUAACCAGAAAGCCACGGCUAACUACGUGCCAGCAGCCGCGGUAAUACGUAGGUGGCAAGCGUUGUCCGGAUUUAUUGGGCGUAAAGCGAGCGCAGGCGGUUUCUUAAGUCUGAUGUGAAAGCCCCCGGCUCAACCGGGGAGGGUCAUUGGAAACUGGGAGACUUGAGUGCAGAAGAGGAGAGUGGAAUUCCAUGUGUAGCGGUGAAAUGCGUAGAUAUAUGGAGGAACACCAGUGGCGAAGGCGGCUCUCUGGUCUGUAACUGACGCUGAGGCUCGAAAGC